AAUGGGCGCAAGCCUGAUCCAGCCAUGCCGCGUGAAUGAAGAAGGCCUUAGGGUUGUAAAAUUCUUUCGAUGGUGAAGAUAAUGACGGUAACCAUUAAAGAAGCCCCGGCUAAUUUCGUGCCAGCAGCCGCGGUAAUACGAAAGGGGCUAGCGUUGUUCGGAAUUACUGGGCGUAAAGCGCACGUAGGCGGCCUUGUAAGUUGGGGGUGAAAUCCCGGGGCUCAACCCCGGAACUGCCUCCAAAACUACAAAGCUAGAGGAUGUGAGAGGUUGGCGGAAUUCCGAGUGUAGAGGUGAAAUUCGUAGAUAUUCGGAAGAACACCAGUGGCGAAGGCGGCCAACUGGCACAUAACUGACGCUGAGGUGCGAAAGCGUGGGGAGCGAACAGGAUU
rnacentral:rRNA from 1 species